AACGAACGCUGGCGGCAUGCCUAACACAUGCAAGUCGAACGAGACCUUCGGGUCUAGUGGCGCACGGGUGCGUAACGCGUGGGAACCUGCCCUUAGGUUCGGAAUAACUCCCCGAAAGGGGUGCUAAUACCGGAUAAUGUCUUCGGACCAAAGAUUUAUCGCCUUUGGAUGGGCCCGCGUUGGAUUAGCUAGUUGGUAGGGUAAAAGCCUACCAAGGCGACGAUCCAUAGCUGGUCUGAGAGGAUGAUCAGCCACACUGGGACUGAGACACGGCCCAGACUCCUACGGGAAGCAGCAGUGAGGAAUAUUGGACAAUGGGCGAAAGCCUGAUCCAGCAAUGCCGCGUGAGUGAUGAAGGCCUUAGGGUUGUAAAGCUCUUUUACCCGGGAUGAUAAUGACAGUACCGGGAGAAUAAGCUCCGGCUAACUCCGUG
rnacentral:rRNA from 1 species